rnacentral:lncRNA from 1 species
GCCAAAGCAGCAUUUAAGCAAAGAGAUGGGACCAACGAUAGCAAAUGCUGACAAAGAGAAAAGGUGGACAAGCAUUUUUUUGUGAUUAAUACCUAAAGGAUGGGAGGAAACAAGGAAGCAAAAAUGCAGUUUAGCGGACUCUUGAUAUCACCAGAAACUGCUACAGUAAGAGGUGUUCUGCCAUGGAUAACUAAGAUUAAUUGCCAUGGCUGAAGUUGAAGAGACCAGAAAAACAUAAGCA